GUAUGGCUGAGUGGAACAACCGCCGGACUUGGAUCCCCAAGGGAUGUGGUUCGAUUCCC
rnacentral:tRNA from 14 species